rnacentral:antisense_RNA from 1 species
CUUCACGGACCCCAGCCACAGCGGCUCGCCGUCACCGUCGCGUGCCUGCCCGUAGGUGGCGAGGAGGGCCUGGGCCUC